GGCCAGUGGAAGAAGAGGCUGCGAUGGUGGAGGUCAAGGUGGAGGAGCUGUUGCGGAACACGGGUGUCCUGCGGGACCCCAGGGAAGCACACACUGUGGCAAAGAUGGCAGAGAAGAGCUGAGAGGUGUCGCUAUAGAGGGGCGAGCAGAUUGAGUGUGGUCUCCCUGUGACAGGGAAAAAGCAGCAGAUGGAGGCAACGAACUGCCACCAAGCGCAGGUGCUGGGGAAAGUUGCCCCGUGGAGAGCGAUGCGUUCUUGAAGAGGUCGGAAAAUGUGCUGGAUGACACAGAACAGCACAUCUUGACGACAGACAGGCAGGACUACGUAGCUGAGGUUAGCAAGUCUUCGAACGCGAAUUCGUUCACGUAUGAAGAUAUCGCCCCUUUUAUGGAGAAAGCACCCUGCCUGGCUGAAGUCGCAACGAGCUUUCCGAAAAAGGGGCAAUGUAGCAGAGUGAGUUAUAGCGCCGCAAAAACAGGAGUGCUGCACAAUCAGAGGCUGCCGGUUUCACGAAUGUUGCGACGGACUCAGCGUGUGGCGAGGCAGCAGAGGUGUGAGCAACAAGGAGGUCGGCUUGCCCGGGUCUUCUGCCAAAAGCUGGAAAGACCACCUUGGCCAACUGAACCAUUCGGGAAGCCUGUCAUGUGAAAGCCAAGGCAGGACCAAGAAGACAAGGGAAGCACCUAAGCUUAUGGGAAGAGGUCCUGGUCCUGUGGCCAACAGAUGAGGCUGUAGCCCCCCCCGGAGGUGAGGCAUGGUCAGAGGUGUUCUCUGUUGUGGAGUACUCAACAUGUUCAGGUGCUCAGGCAGGACACCAGGUCCAUCAAUGAGAAAACAACUUCAGUUAGAGACCCCAGAAAACCGCAAAGAGAAACGGGCAUGGUCACCUACAUCCUGGCUGUGGUCUGCAGUACCAUACAAUUACUGACCGGACCAUGUUUGCAGAUGAACCGACUUACUUUAGACUCCACAUCAUUAGCAUCCACUUCAGUUCCUUCAUACUUCAGCAUUUGUUGCAUUGGUCUUCAGAAUGACUGAUGGGUGCAAAUACAACAUCAUGUUUUAUAGGAUCAUAUCCUGGCAUACUUUUCAGUCUUGACACACACAACCAAGUUUCUUGGCCCUUCACUAACAAAAAAUGUUAGUUUUGCUCAAGUGUGAAAAAAAAAUAAUGUUGCCAGAAAAUGAUGUGAGCCUGUGACAUGACAUGGUGGAAAUGAGGGGAUAGAAGUGAACCCUUUAUCUGGCACAGCCUGGCGUGGAGUGAGAUAAGAGCCAAAUGCAAAUGCUGUGAUAAGACAGUGAAUGCAAAUAUUUACAAUAUUAUAUUUCUGUAGGAUUCACAUGGGAACCAGACAAAGUAGACCGUUCUCCUGUGUCCCCUUUCAGGUUUGCCAAAAUGCCUUUUUUUGCUUUUUUGCAUUUCUUCAAAAUUGAUUGAGCCUUCGUAUUAUGUAAAGCUAUUUGUUUGCUGAGGAUGGUAAUUAGUUACCGUAAUUACAGCAAUGACAGUUGCUAAAUUGUUUUUAAAGCAUUACUGUGCAUCUGCGCCAGAAGAUUGCAGCACAUAUUACAGGAUUUAGGCAAUUUGCUGGGAAACCGCCCACCCUUGGGCUAAAGUAGGAUUUUUGAACUACAAAGCAGCCAUUUUACGAGCAAGAGCACUUUUGAAAAUGUCUGUUAAUUUGUAAUAAUUGCUAGGUGGACGGUGUUUACUCACUGAUCGAGGGCUUGCUACUCAUAGGAAUUCUUCGGGGAUCAACUAUAAGCUUGAAAAUAAAAAGCAGCAGUACUUGUUUUUGUUUUCUCUG
rnacentral:lncRNA from 1 species